GGUAGGCUGCAUGCGUGUCGUCAGCUCGUGCCGUGAGGUGUUCGGGUUAAGUCCCGCAACGAGCGCAACCCCUAUUGCCAGUUGCUACCAGGUAAUGCUGGGCACUCUGGUGAGACUGCCCCGGUUAACGGGGAGGAAGGUGGGGACGACGUCAAGUCAUCAUGGCCCUUACGCCUAGGGCUACACACGUACUACAAUGGCGCAUACAAAGGGCAGCGAUACCGCGAGGUGGAGCCAAUCCCAAAAAGUGCGUCCCAGUCCGGAUUGCAGUCUGCAACUCGACUGCAUGAAGUUGGAAUCGCUAGUAAUUCGAGAUCAGCAUGCUCGGGUGAAUGCGUUCCCGGGCCUU
rnacentral:rRNA from 1 species